rnacentral:rRNA from 1 species
AUUGAACGCUGGCGGCAGGCCUAACACAUGCAAGUCGAACGGUAACAGGAAGCAGCUUGCUGCUUUGCUGACGAGUGGCGGACGGGUGAGUAAUGUCUGGGACACUGCCUGAUGGAGGGGGAUAACUACUGGAAACGGUAGCUAAUACCGCAUAACGUCGCAAGACCAAAGAGGGGGACCUUCGGGCCUCUUGCCAUCGGAUGUGCCCAGAUGGGAUUAGCUAGUAGGUGGGGUAACGGCUCACCUAGGCGACGAUCCCUAGCUGGUCUGAGAGGAUGACCAGCCACACUGGAACUGAGACACGGUCCAGACUCCUACGGGAGGCAGCAGUGGGGAAUAUUGCACAAUGGGCGCAAGCCUGAUGCAGCCAUGCCGCGUGUAUGAAGAAGGCCUUCGGGUUGUAAAGUACUUUCAGCGGGGAGGAAGGGAGUAAAGUUAAUACCUUUGCUCAUUGACGUUACCCGCAGAAGAAGCACCGGCUAACUCCGUG